rnacentral:rRNA from 1 species
AAGGAGGUGAUCCAUCCGCACCUUCCGAUACGGCUACCUUGUUACGACUUCACCCCAGUCAUGAAUCCUACCGUGGUAAUCGCCCCCCUUGCGGUUAGGCUAACUACUUCUGGUAAAACCCACUCCCAUGGUGUGACGGGCGGUGUGUACAAGACCCGGGAACGUAUUCACCGCGACAUGCUGAUCCGCGAUUACUAGCGAUUCCGACUUCAUGCAGGCGAGUUGCAGCCUGCAAUCCGGACUACGAUCGGGUUUCUGGGAUUGGCUCCCCCUUGCGGGUUGGCGACCCUCUGUCCCGACCAUUGUAUGACGUGUGAAGCCCUACCCAUAAGGGCCAUGAGGACUUGACGUCAUCCCCACCUUCCUCCGGUUUGUCACCGGCAGUCUCAUUAGAGUGCCCUUUCGUAGCAACUAAUGACAAGGGUUGCGCUCGUUGCGGGACUUAACCCAACAUCUCACGACACGAGCUGACGACAGCCAUGCAGCACCUGUGUUCCGGUUCUCUUGCGAGCACACUUCAAUCUCUCGAAGCUUCCAGACAUGUCAAGGGUAGGUAAGGUUUUUCGCGUUGCAUCGAAUUAAUCCACAUCAUCCACCGCUUGUGCGGGUCCCCGUCAAUUCCUUUGAGUUUUAAUCUUGCGACCGUACUCCCCA